UUUCAGUAUCAUUUGGAAGGGAGGAAGGAUAAUUAUAUUUCUAGCUAUGCCAUCUAUGAACAGCCAUCACAGGUUGUACUGUCACUGUUGAGGUUUCCAAACUGCGUGUGCAAAUAAUAACAUCUGAAGCCAUUCAUACCCUGCUUAAAAGAAGCCAGUCUUUCUUAGAAGGUCUUCUCUGAAUUCAGAAAUGAAAGGAGGCAUCUUCUAAUCGGCCUUAGUGCUCUGCGUAAUUCUUUUUCCCUGAAGAAGGUAGUUCAUAGCUCAACUGAACAAAUGUGUUUAAAAAUGCAAUCUGGGUCAUCUAAACAAUAAAACAGCUGAAUGUCGGGAAGUAAAUUUCCUUCCAGUUUUCUUUCAAAGACAAAAUUGAAGAAAAUAGACUUCAGCAUGUAUGUUUAGGAUCCGAAUGAGUGAUUUUUGUUGUUCAUUAAAUAGUAUAUCCUAUUCUUAUUGAACCCUUGGUGGUGAGGACAUGGGCUUUCACAGGGUUCUGCUAAGACCUGCUAGCAUUGGCAUGGGAGUAUGCAAUAAAGAUGAAGUUGCAAAGUUGCUGACAGACGCACCUUCUGUCAUUCAUCUGAUCUGAAGAGACACUGAAUCAACGGAAUGAAGACCUCAGGGAUACCUCGCUGCAAACAGCAGCGCCCUUCAGAAUGAUACCUUUGUCCUUCAGUGUUCAUUCAAGUGCUUUAGAAAAUGAUAGCCUGAGCAUUAAAAGAGUACAAAGCAUCAAAGCCCUCCAGAAGAGAGAAAAAACAGAUUUAACAUAAAGUGAUACAGGUGAUGCAGCAUUGGUUUCUUCUUUCGUCCCUUUUCUCUUUCAUUUCUAGCUUGCUUUUCGUGUGUGUGUGUGUGUAUGUGUGUGUUCUGUUUUAAUAAUGGUUAAAUCUAUUCCUUCUCAGGCUAACCAUUUUAAUCUCUUAUGCUCAGUUUGUGUUUGGCAUUUAAAAUCUAAAUCGGUGCCACAUACAAAACCCUGCCAUAUUGCAAAUGCAGAAAUACACAGUCCAGUUCAGAUGUCCUCAGCAAUUAUAAAUGAAAACAUGGAAGCUUGCAUCUCAGAAGUUGAUCCUGUAAUAUCACCAUCUGGUUCAAGUGCACAAGAAUUUAAGUAGUGAAAUAAGUACACACGAAUCUCUUUCUAUUAUGUUCAGUAUCUUUGAGCCAUUAUUUAUGUAAAUGAUGCAUAAGGAAAAAAAUCUAUAUCCGCAAGUCAAAUAAUUGUUUAUGGUUCUAAACUAGAUUUGAUAGCAUAUUUUAACUCAAAUCCAUCCAUCAAGUUCUCAUGUACAACUGUUUUCCAGCUGAGUUUGGUUGUUUAUUUACAACUGAAUGUAAAUCCCAAAUUAUAAAUGCUAACUUAAGCAUAGAAAGAAAGAGGCAGAAACUAAGCAUUUUUCAUGAGUACACCUUUUUCUAGAGGAAAAGCAGUACUAAGGUUAAUGUUUUGCAGUCUUAUGAGAGGUAAUGCUGCUAUGUAGCAUCUUCUCUAGAAACAGGGAAUGCAAGUUUUACAACUGAACAGUUGUUUUGCAAAACUUCUAACUGUUCUGUAUGCAGCUGUGCAAAGUUGGAUGCAACUUCCUUUUAAAGUAAUUAUCAUCUAUCUGUUAAUAGGCUGUAGUUAUUCAGAAACAGGUUGCCCAGAGUGGGUAUUGCUGAAUGACAAGUUACAAUGGCAUUCUUAUAUGAAUAUGUAAUCUAUGUGUUAUGUGCAUGUAUAUAUCAUAUCAGUACUCAAUGUCCUGAGGAAUACUUCAACAGUGACAUUUGAUGUAGUUUUAAAUGGGAUUUACUUGUCUAACAUUUCUUACAUGCAUAAAAAGGAGCGCUACCACAUAUACAUAUAUGCUGUAUGAUGUUGCUAAUGGGUUUUGAAUUGUAACUGCAGUUUGUAUGGUUGCCUUGAAUGAAGUCCUGUUUUGAUCAUUAACUUUUCCAGUGGAAAAAGUGAAAUGCUGUGAUGCAUUGUGCUGUUCUCCUGUCUCUUACUGGAACACGUAUCCUGAGUUUUC
ensembl:lncRNA